CUUACAGGCAUCUUAUU
rnacentral:tRNA from 1 species